rnacentral:rRNA from 1 species
UACAGAGGUCCCAAGCGUUGUUCGGAUUCACUGGGCGUAAAGGGUGCGCAGGUGGUUUGGCAAGUUUGACGUGAAAGUCCCGGGCUUAACCUGGGAAUGGCGUUGAAAACUGCUUGAACUGGAGGGUCGGAGGGGGGACUGGAAUUCUUGGUGUAGCAGUGAAAUGCGUAGAUAUCAAGAGGAACACCAGUGGCGAAGGCGAGUCCCUGGACGAUACCUGACACUGAGGCACGAAAGCCAAGGGAGCAAACAGG